rnacentral:rRNA from 1 species
AUUGAACGCUGGCGGCAUGCCUUACACAUGCAAGUCGAACGGCAGCACGGGAGCUUGCUCCUGGUGGCGAGUGGCGAACGGGUGAGUAAUACAUCGGAACGUACCCAGUAGUGGGGGAUAACGCACCGAAAGGUGCGCUAAUACCGCAUACGACCUACGGGUGAAAGCGGGGGACCGUAAGGCCUCGCGCUAUUGGAGCGGCCGAUGUCGGAUUAGCUAGUUGGCGGGGUAAUAGCCCACCAAGGCGACGAUCAGUAGCUGGUCUGAGAGGACGAUCAGCCAAGCUGGGACUGGGACACGGCCCAGACUCCUACGGGAGGCAGCAGUGGGGAAUUUUGGACAAUGGGGGCAACCCUGAUCCAGCAAUGCCGCGUGUGCGAAGAAGGCCUUCGGGUUGUAAAGCACUUUUGUCAGGGAAGAAAUCUUUCAGGCUAAUACCCUUGGAAGGAUGACGGUACCUGAAGAAUAAGCACCGGCUAACUACGUGCCAGCCGCCGCUGUAA